rnacentral:rRNA from 1 species
CCGCCGGCGACCGGCGCACGGGUGAGUAACACGUAUGCAACCUGGCCGUGACAGAUGGAUAACCGGGAGAAAUCCCGCCUAAUACAGCAUGACGCCGGGAAGGGACAUCCCUUUCCGGCCAAAGGGGGCGACUCCGGUCACGGAUGGGCAUGCGGCGCAUUAGGUAGUUGGUGGGGGCAACGGCCCACCAAGCCGACGAUGCGUAGGGGUUCUGAGAGGAAGGUCCCCCACAUUGGAACUGAGACACGGUCCAAACUCCUACGGAAGGCAGCAG